rnacentral:misc_RNA from 1 species
GAUGAAGAACGUAGCGAAAUGCGAUAACUAAUGUGAAUUGCAGAAUUCAGUGAAUCAUCGAGUCUUUGAACGCACAUUGCGCCCCCUGGUAUUCCGGGGGGCAUGCCUGUCCGAGCGUCAUUGCUGCCCUCAAGCACGGCUUGAGUGUUGGGCUCCGUCCCCCCGGGGACGGGCCCGAAAGGCAGCGGCGGCACCGAGUCCGGUCCUCGAGCGUAUGGGGCUUUGUCACCCGCUCUGUAGGCCCGGCCGGCGCCAGCCGACAACCCAUCAUCCUUUUCAGGUUGACCUCGGAUCAGGUAGGGAUACCCGCUGAACUUAAGCAUAUCAAUAAGCGGAGGA